GACGAACGCUGGCGGCGUGCCUAAUACAUGCAAGUCGAACGCAGUGGGGACGGGUGAGUAACACGUGGGUAACCUCCCAUCAGAGGGGAUAACACUUGGAAACAGGUGCUAAACCGAUACUGAUGGAUGGACCCGCGGUGCAUUAGCUAGUUGGUGAGGUAACGGCUCACCAAGGCCCCGAUGCAUAGCCGACCUGAGCGGGUGAUCGGCAGUAGUGGGAUGGAGACACGGCCCAGACUCCUCCGAGAGGCAGCAGUAGGGAAUCUUCGGCAAUGGACGAAAGUCUAACCGAGAAAAGCCGCGUGAGUGAAGAAGGUUUUCGGAUCGUAAAACUCUGUUAUGAGAGAAGCGGUAUCUAACCAGAAAGCCACGGCUAACUACGUGCCAGCAGCCGCGGUAAUAC
rnacentral:rRNA from 1 species